rnacentral:rRNA from 1 species
AACGUAGGAGACGAGCGUUAUCCGGAUUUACUGGGCGUAAAGAGCGUGUAGGAGGCGGUACAAGUUGGAUGUGAAAGCUCCCGGCUUAACUGGGAGAGGUCGUUCAAGACUGUACAGCUAGAGGAAGGCAGAGGUAGACGGAACUCCGGGAGUAGUGGUGAAAUGCGUAGAUAUUAGGAGGAACACCAGUUGCGAAGGCGGCUCUCUGGACUGUAACUGACACUGAGGCACGAAAGCGUGGGGAGCAAACAGGAUUAGAUACCCGGGUAGUCCCUGAG